rnacentral:misc_RNA from 1 species
AAGUCGUAACAAGGUCUCCGUUGGUGAACCAGCGGAGGGAUCAUUAUUAGAGCCUAAAAACUCCCUAAACCAUUGUGAACUUACCUAUCGUUGCUUCGGUGGGCGGCCCCUCCGGGGGCCCUCUAGGCCGCAAGGCGCCCGCCGGAGGUUAUUUACAUACACUCUUGUCUUCUACCGUCACUUCUGAGUACAACAAAAAAUAAUCAAAACUUUCAACAACGGAUCUCUUGGCUCUA